rnacentral:rRNA from 1 species
AACGCACCUUGCACCCCUUGGCAUUCCGAGGGGUACACCCGUUUGAGUGUCGUGAAAUUCUCAAACCUUCUUGGUUAUUAUAACCAAGAUGGCUUUGGACUUUGGAGGUCUUUUGCUGGCUUUGCAAAAAGUCGGCUCCUCUUAAAUGCAUUAGUGGGGUCCUCUUUGCCGAUCCUCAGGCGUUGAUAAGAUGUUUCUACGUCUUGGGAUUUGCUCUGAUUGAUGGGAACCCGCUUCUAACCGUCUCACUAUAAGGAGACAUCGUUCGAGUUUUACUCGACCCACGAACCUUGACCUCAAAUCGGGUGAGACUACCCGCUGAACUUAA